rnacentral:tRNA from 1 species
GCGAGUGUGGUGGAAUCGGUAGACACGCUAUCUUGAGGGGGUAGUGGCUUUUAGCCGUAUGGGUUCAAGUCCCAUCAUUCGCACCA